rnacentral:rRNA from 1 species
UACGUAGGGAGCAAGCGUUGUCCGGAAUCAUUGGGCGUAAAGCGCGCGUAGGUGGCUUCGUAAGUCCGUUGUGAAAGUCAAAGGCUCAACCUUUGAAAGCCGAUGGAUACUGUGGAGCUAGAGUACGGAAGAGGCGAGUGGAAUUCCUGGUGUAGCGGUGGAAUGCGCAGAUAUCAGGAGGAACACCAAUAGCGAAGGCAGCUCGCUGGGACGUUACUGACACUGAGGCGCGAAAGCGUGGGGAGCGAAC